CUCCAGGACAAACACAGUUGUGGGACCGGUUGAUCUCUGGAACUUUUAGAGCUUUUGCUGUGCCCUGAGUCCUAGCUCCAUGCAGGGCACUUCAGGAAUCCAGCAGAGGUCCGUCAGCCCAUCCAGGGACCCUUGAGUCUGAGGAGAAUCCCACCCAGUGUGUUCUCCUGGCAUUUAGUACAGAGUGAGUUUGCUCUGCUCCUUGAGAGGAGUAAGUGGCUUUAUAAUCCAAGAGGCUUUGCAACCUGUUUCUCUUUCACUUCAGAGGGUGGGGAAGAGACAGCCUUGUCAGGCGAAGUUGGGAAGAGGAACUGCAGGGAGAGCCAGCCAGCUCGUCAGGAAACAUGAAGGCGGCUGGCCUAUCAACUCCUGAUUGUUUUAAGAUCCCCUCCUCCCCUCCCUGGUCCCUGCUCCCCUCUCCCCUCUUCUCCCCCUUGCCACACCGAGAAGGUUAGGAGAGUUGAAGUCUCCUCAGAGGUGGUGUCGGAGAAGGCAAUGGAAACCCACUCUAGUAUUCUUGCCUGGAGAAUCCCAUGGAUGGAGGAGCCUGGUGGGCUGCCGUCUAUGGGGUCGCACAGAGUCGGACACGACUGAAGCGACUUAGCAGCAGCAGCAGCAGAGGUGGUGUAUUUUGCGGAGCCUCCUGGCCUGACUUCCGUUUGUUUACAAGGCAGGUCUCCCAGUGCAGAGGGAAAGGAGGGGAAUUAAAGAGCCGGAUUGAUAGGAUACUGCAGGGCCGCACUGUCUCACAGCCCUUCUUAGAACCCGAAUACUCUCAGCUCAGAACCUCUUUAGACAAUCAGUCACUUCAAGCCUCUUACCAAACAGAUGGGGAAACAGGCUCUGAGGGGAGAAUUUCUGUCUCACGCCUAGGGUUAAGAUUCAAAUCUACUUGGAUCCCCCAGCCUCCAUUAAAGGACUGUUUAGAACAGACACUCUGUGAUUGUCUUCCUCAUCUCUGGAGGGUCUUGCAUAUUUCUGGAGCAUUCCACACUCUUUCUGGAAGAAGAGAAGGCUCCGCUGGGAUGGGGGGAACAGAUUUUCCAGGUGAGGAUUAUCUUAAGUCUAUGGGCUCCGCCCCUUGACGAUCAGGGCCCCUGAACUCCCUGCCAGCUGAACCCUGUUCGCCUUAUCACAGUCUCAGCUCUCCCUUUCCCCAACUAGUGAUGUAGAGAGAGAGGCAGAGAUGACCAAGAUGACACACCCCUGUGCCCUGUCCACCCCUCCCGCCCUGUGUUUCAUUCAUUCACUCUCUCUCUCCCUGCCUCCGUCCACAACAGCAUGAUUCUGUACCAGCUGAGUGAGGGACUGUGCUUACCCUUGAGGAACUCCCAACUUAGCAAAACACACACAUGGACAGAAAAAACAGGCUGAGAAAAACACUGUGAGUACCCCCAGAAGGAGACUGCCAACUUUUGUCUGUGAGAUUCAGGAAAAGUCCCAGAGAGAAGGUGCCAUCUGAGCUGACUCUGAAAAGAUGAGCUGGCUUGAAUGAGAGCAAUGAAGAAGGAGCCCUCCCCCUCUGGUUAAGAAGCUUGCCCUGGUUGUGGGAAGAACUAGAGGCAGGUGGCUGGCUGCUGGCCCCCAAAUGUGGGGUAUUGGGAAAGGAAGGAUGGCUGAGCCGCACAGUUUGGUUGGACCGAUCCCGACUCCUUCUCCCGUCCCCACGCUGAGCCAAGCCUGGUCUGCUGCGGAGGACCUUGGUCCCCACAUGCCUCUCUGGGUCCUGGAAACUCAGCACCUUUGCCUCUGCUCUGACCUCCAGCCCUGUGUCUAAGUGCCCCUUGGACUUCCUGCAGACUGGAGUCUUUGUUACCAGCUUUCCACUUAUUCUGGGGCUCCAGCUCUGCCCCACGUCAUGAGGAACCAGGAGGAAGGCUCCCUGAGAGGUUUCUCAGGGCCCAAAGUCCAGAGGAAAACAGGCUAACUCACCUGCUUCUGCCUGGUUCUAUACUUUGGCCCAGAAAGUAACUGCACAAAUGUAGGGUAGAGAAGUAUGACUUAGCAGCAACAUAGAAAACAAAACUUAGGAUUUGAGUUUAUGAUAAGCUGGGGCUUCCCUAGUGGCUCAGACGGUAAAGAAUCUGCCUGCAACACAGGAGACUGGGUUUGAUCCCUGGGUCCGGAAGAUCCCCUGGAGAAGGGAAUGGCAACCCACUCCAGU
ensembl:lncRNA